AUAUUGCUGAAGAGUCUUAAAUAGGACGAAAGGCGCGUCCUGGAC
rnacentral:hammerhead_ribozyme from 1 species